rnacentral:rRNA from 1 species
GGGGAAUUUUCCGCAAUGGGCGUUAGCCUGACAGUGCGACGCCGCGUGAAGGAAGAAGGCCACUUUCGGUCGUAAACUUCUUUGCACGGGCACAGGAAGACUGACCGCCCGGGAAGCAAGUAUCGGCUAACUCCGUGCCAGCAGCCGCGGUAAGACGGGGGAUGCAAGCGUUAUCCGGAUUUACUGGGCGUAAAGCGUCUGUAGGUGGUUUGGUGUGUCUACUGUCCAAACACAGGGCUUAACUCUGUGGGGCAUGUGGAGACUAUCAGACUGGAGGUCGGUAGAGGUGGGGGGAAUCCCUCGAGGAGCAGUGAAAUGCUUAGAUACGUGGGAGAAGGCCGGAGGCGAAAGCUCCCCACUGGGCCGCGCCUGACACUGAGAGACGAAAGCUAGGGGAGCGAAUGGGAUUAGAUACCCCAGUAGUC